UACGUAGGGGGCAAGCGUUGUCCGGAAUCAUUGGGCGUAAAGCGCGUGUAGGCGGUUCGGUAAGUCUGCUGUGAAAAGUCCAGGGCUCAACCCUGGGAUGCCGGUGGAUACUGUCGGACUAGAGUACGGAAGAGGCGAGUGGAAUUCCCGGUGUAGCGGUGAAAUGCGUAGAUAUCGUAAGGAAGACCAGUGGCGAAGGCGGGUCUCUGGACAGUUCCUGAUGCUGAGGCACGAAGGCCAGGGGAGCAAACGGG
rnacentral:rRNA from 1 species